CUAUACUUGACAAAUGUGCACCUUGAUCUUGCAUAUUUUCGUUUUUCUCGAGUAGGGUUUGAUGCCGUUGAAUUCCCCAUGGCAGAUUUUGUCUCCAUAGUGAGCAUCUUUAGAGAUAUUUUCCUCAAAUAAUCUGCCUGGAAAUCAAUAAUUCAGAGGUGAGAAAUGUGAAUAUUGAGAUUCUCAUGAGGGACCAACAUUUAUGAGUAUAAAGCAUCCAACUAAUCACGAUAUACAGGAUUAGGAAUAGAACCACAAGCAUAAUUAUUUAAUUAUUUUCUCACGAAUAACUAUACCAAAAUACACAAAUUUCUUGUUUCAAAAUUAACACUCAAGUCUCGACAAACCAGCAACUUAACAACCAAUAACCAUAAUGCCUUCUACUCUAUCUAUUUCCAUGGCCUGCUUAAGUUAAUCAAUUGUUCCAAUGAUCAUUCAGUCUAACUAAUUCUCCUUAAUUAAGUGCUAAAAGUUUAUAAGGAUGGGAAGGGUAUUGAGCCAACUCCAUAGUUAAGCUCUGAGCGUGUAAGCCGGAGUCUUCCAAAAUUAAAAAGGUUGGGUGGGUUAGUAAAAUUAUUCAUUAGUUCAUGCAAACAAUAAAGUCGGAUAUCAAUCAUAUAAAAAGAAAAUGUUGGGCCGGUCAAAGUUCACAAGAAGUUCAGUUAACUUAUUUUAUUCAGUGAUGUUUGGUUUCUCAACCUGUUCACUAAGCUGAUCUCCAAUUCUUUGAUUCACUCCCAGCAUAUGCCAUCCCAAACCUACACAAGAGUAGAUUUUCUUUUCUUUGCUUAUUUACACAGUUUGCCAUGUCAAGGGUUGGUGGAGAGAGGUUUUAAGGCUGGCAAGUCUAUGACGUUGUCACACCCCAAGAAUUUACAAUACUGUUAUUCCUGAGAUGUGACAGACAAAACAUAUAUACAUCUAUUGAUAGGACAAAUUUACAGUGGCGAGGUCUUAUAAAGUAACAAAAGAAAGCUAGCACAACAACAAUAUCUUCCAAGGUUGAUCUUGACUAGCACUCAAAAUGAAUCCGCAGUUAUCCUGAAAAAAUGUUUACCAUAGUUUGAUGAGUUUGGCUACUCAGUAAGUGAUCAUCAUAAUCCUAAAAAUAAUCAUGAUUGAAAGAUAUCAAUAUUUUCCAAAAUGACAUCUAUCAACAGAAAUGCAUCAACAGUUUCACUUUCAAUAAAUGCAUAAUUAAGUAUAAUCCGAAUAAUUGAAAUGCUUAUAACACUUUUAACAGCAGUGCAUAAUUCAAAGGAUUUCACAAAAUACCCUACUAGCGUCCCAAGUAGGUCACCUAUAUACCCCAUCAGCGUCUUGAUGGGUCCACUUAAUCCCUAUCGGCGUCCCAGAUAGGUCCACUUAAUCCCUGCAGGUCCACUUAUACCUCACCGGCGUAUCGGAUGAGUCCACUUAAUCCCUACCGGCGUCCCAGAUAGGUCCACUUAUACCUCACCGGCGAACCGGAUGAGUCCACUUGCAUACUUAAAUUAUUUCUAAAUCUCUUUAAACAUUCGAAAGC
rnacentral:lncRNA from 1 species